rnacentral:rRNA from 1 species
UACGGAGGGGGCUAGCGUUGUUCGGAAUUACUGGGCGUAAAGCGCACGUAGGCGGAUCGUUAAGUCAGGGGUGAAAUCCUGGAGCUCAACUCCAGAACUGCCUUCGAUACUGGCGAUCUUGAGUCCGGAAGAGGUGAGUGGAACUCCUAGUGUAGAGGUGGAAUUCGUAGAUAUUAGGAAGAACACCAGUGGCGAAGGCGGCUCACUGGUCCGGUACUGACGCUGAGGUGCGAAAGCGUGGGUAGCAAACAGG